rnacentral:lncRNA from 1 species
GACAGCGAGGAGGUCCAAAUUGCUCAGAGCAAACUCGGUUUCUAAUGCUCAGAGACAAGGCCCCAAACGGUCUAUGCUCCUUACAGAAAAUGGCCCCCGUGACACAGGCAGCACUGGCCUUUCCCGAUAAGCAUCAGCCACAGGACUCUCUGCCUCUGAGGCUAAUGGCAAUUAGCUGAGGGCUUGCCAGCCAGUCCUCUCCAACAGCUCAACUCUAGACCCAGACCCAGCAGCACACCUUCCAUCCCACGGCUUCCUCCCCAGGUCAGAACCCACAGAGGGGUCUUGCCUGUGCAAAUACAGAAUUCACGGCAGUUUUAUUUCUCGUCAAAAAACCCAAAACCACAGACCACCCAAAUGUGUCUGAACUGGGAAACAGACAACUAAACCAUAACCCAUCUACAUAAUGGAACCCAACUCAGACAUCGAAAGCACACAUCAUGGAUGCACGCAAGACACGGGUGAAUCCACCCAGUAUUACAUUAAGUAGGGACAGCCAGAUUGAGAAAGGCUACUUCCUGCAUGCAUCCAUCCGUAUGAUGCGCUGGUAAAGGACACUCAAGCGACCGAAGACAGAUUGGCAGCUACCAGGGUCUGGGGACUGUUUCACAGGAAGUCAGCUGGACAUAAGACAGCAGGCCAUUCACUCAGAACCAUCGGAUGCUAAGGCAAACUGAGGACGCAAUUCAGCUGAGCUCGGCUUGUCCCUUUCACUUCCCUUGCCAAGUGUCACCAGUGAGGGGCACGCAUUACUUGAGAAAAAUGACAAAGUGGACUU